rnacentral:rRNA from 1 species
CUUGGCAGUCAUAGCCUGUGUGAACCACCCGACCCCAUCCCGAACUCGGAAGUGAAACCACAACGCGCCGAUGAUAGUGUGAGGCCUCCUCAUGCGAAAGUAGGUUACCGCCAAGA